UGGGGAAUAUUGCACAAUGGGCGAAAGCCUGAUGCAGCGACGCCGCGUGAGGGAUGACGGCCUUCGGGUUGUAAACCUCUUUCAGCAGGGACGAAGCGCAAGUGACGGUACCUGCAGAAGAAGCACCGGCUAACUACGUGCCAGCAGCCGCGGUAAUACGUAGGGUGCAAGCGUUGUCCGGAAUUACUGGGCGUAAAGAGUUCGUAGGCGGUUUCUCGCGUCGUUGGUGAAAACCAGCGGCUCAACUGCUGGCUUGCAGGCGAUACGGGCAGACUUGAGUACUGCAGGGGAGACUGGAAUUCCUGGUGUAGCGGUGAAAUGCGCAGAUAUCAGGAGGAACACCGGUGGCGAAGGGGGGUCUCUGGGCAGUAACUGACGCUGAGGAACGAAAGCGUGGGUAGCGAACAGG
rnacentral:rRNA from 1 species